rnacentral:misc_RNA from 1 species
CGGCAACAAAAGCUGCAGCACAAGCAGACAGAUCGAGCCCGGCCCUAGUGAAGUCUCACUACACUAAGGUGAAGGUGCAUCCAUCUCGCCAUGGAGGUGAAGGUGCUGAGCUCCAAGCUCGUGAAACCGUCCUACCCGGCGGGCGCGCCGCGGCCGGACACCACGGAGCACGUGCCGUCGUCGGUGUUCGACAAGGCCACGUACCACAUGCAGAUGGCCAUCAUCUACGCCUUCUCUCCGCCGGUCCCGUCCCCAGACGCCAUCGAGCGCGGCCUCGCCGCGGUGCUGGGCGCCUACCGGCUCUUCGCCGGCCAGGUCCGCCCGGGCCCGGACGGCGCGCCAGGGGUGCUGCUCAACGACCACGGCGCCCGCCUCGUGGAGGCGUCCGUGGACGCGCGCCUCGCCGACAUCGCCCCCACGAAGCCGUCCCCCGCCGUGCUGCGGCUGCACCCGGACCUAGACGGCAGCGACAUCGAGGAGCCAGUGGUGCAGGUGCAGCUCACGCGGUUCGCGUGCGGCUCGCUCGCCGUGGGCUUCACCGCCAACCACGCCGUGGCGGACGGCCACGCCACCAGCGACUUCCUCGUCGCCUGGGGCCGCGCCGCGCGCGGGCUCCCCGUCGGCCCGUCGCCGCCGGUCCACCGCCCGGGCCUCUUCCCGCCGCGCCACGACCCGCCGCGCGCCGGGUUCGAGCACCGCGGCGUGGAGUACUACAAGCCCGCGCCGUCGUCGGCCCACGUCCACGUCCACGGCCACGGCGACACUACGACCCAGCACAGCAUCGUGAUCCACAAGGCUCACUUCACCAAGGACUUCGUGGCGGGGCUCCGCGCCAGGGCGUCCGAAGGCCGUGGCCGUCCCUUCAGCCGGUUCGAGACGAUCCUCGCCCACGUCUGGCGCACCAUGACGCGCGCGCGCGGGCUGGGCAGCAACCCGCUCCAGACCUCCACCAUCCGCAUCUCCGUGGACGGGAGGCCGCGCCUCGCGGCGGCGCCGGCAGACUACUUCGGGAACCUGGUCCUCUGGGCGUUCCCGCGCGCCACGGUGGGGAGCCUCCUCGGCCGGCCGCUGAAGCACGCGGCGCAGGUGAUCCACGACGCCGUGGCGCGGGUGGACGGCGCCUACUUCCAGUCGUUCGUCGACUUCGCGGGCUCCGGCGCGGUGGAGAAGGAAGGGCUGGAGACGACAGCCCUGCUCAAGGACGUGCUGUGCCCGGACCUGGAGGUGGACAGCUGGCUCACCUUCCCGUUCUACGAGCUGGACUUGGGCGCCGGCAACCCGAGCUACUUCAUGCCGUCCUACUUCCCCACGGAGGGCAUGCUGUUCCUGGUGCCUUCGUACCUGGGCGACGGCAGCGUCGACGCCUUCGUGCCGAUGUUCGAGCAAAACCUGGAGGCGUUCAAGCAGUGCUGCUACUCCAUGGAGUAGCCAGCUUCAAGUCUUUCAACUCUCUGUGCAUGGCAUUCGUGCGUGCGUGCGUGCCCAGCAGGCAGCAGCACCUACAACUACAACUAUAGCCAUGCAUGCAUGCCUAAAUUAUACUGCUUCCGCGUCGUAAAAACUGUAUUGGGUAUAUAUAUACACAUUUUCUAAAAGGAUUAUACUACGUACUGCUAGGUUAGUAGUAGUUUGUUGCGGCUUUAUCAAUCUUUUAAUUAAUUCCUGGGUUUUGUAAACCUGAGUUAAUUACCUUUUCUUUGGACCUGUACGUACGAGGACCGAUCUGUGGUCCUCAACCU